GAUGGACGCUGGCGGCGUGCCUAAUACAUGCAAGUCGAGCGAACAGACGAGGAGCUUGCUCCUCUGACGUUAGCGGCGGACGGGUGAGUAACACGUGGAUAACCUACCUAUAAGACUGGGAUAACUUCGGGAAACCAGAGCUAAUACCGGAUAAUAUAUUGAACCGCAUGGUUCAAUAGUGAAAGACGGUUUUGCUGUCACUUAUAGAUGGAUCCGCGCCGCAUUAGCUAGUUGGUAAGGUAACAGCUUACCAAGGCAACGAUGCGUAGCCGACCUGAGAGGGUGAUCGGCCACACUGGAACUGAGACACGGUCCAGACUCCUACGGGAGGCAGCAGUAGGGAAUCUUCCGCAAUGGGCGAAAGCCUGACGGAGCAACGCCGCGUGAGUGAUGAAGGUCUUCGGAUCGUAAAACUCUGUUAUUAGGGAAGAACAAAUGUGUAAGUAACUAUGCACGUCUUGACGGUACCUAAUCAGAAAGCCACGGCUAACUACGUG
rnacentral:rRNA from 1 species